rnacentral:rRNA from 1 species
UACAGGCUUAACACAUGCAAGUCGAGGGGCAGCAUGGUCUUAUUCUUGCUAAGGCCGAUGGCGACCGGCGCACGGGUGAGUAACACGUAUCCAACCUGCCGUCUACUCUUGGACAGCCUUCUGAAAGGAAGAUUAAUACAAGAUGGCAUCAUGAGUCCACAUGUUCACAUGAUUAAAGGUAUUCCGGUAGACGAUGGGGAUGCGUUCCAUUAGAUAGUAGGCGGGGUAACGGCCCACCUAGUCUUCGAUGGAUAGGGGUUCUGAGAGGAAGGUCCCCCACAUUGGAACUGAGACACGGUCCAAACUCCUACGGGAGGCAGCAGUGAGGAAUAUUGGUCAAUGGGCGAGAGCCUGAACCAGCCAAGUAGCGUGAAGGAUGACUGCCCUAUGGGUUGUAAACUUCUUUUAUAAAGGAAUAAAGUCGGGUAUGCAUACCCGUUUGCAUGUACUUUAUGAAUAAGGAUCGGCUAACUCCGUGCCAGCAGCCGCGGUAAUACUGAGGAUCCGAGCGUUAUCCGGAUUUAUUGGGUUUAAAGGGAGCGUAGAUGGAUGUUUAAUUCAGUUGUGAAAGGUUUGCGGCUCAACCGUAAAAUUGCAGUUGAUACUGGAUAUCUUGAGUGCAGUUGAGGCAGGCGGAAUUCGUGGUGUAGCGGUGAAAUGCUUAGAUAUCACGAAGAACUCCGAUUGCGAAGGCAGCCUGCUAAGCUGCAACUGACAUUGAGGCUCGAAAGUGUGGGUAUCAAACAGGAUUAGAUACCCUGGUAGUCCACACGGUAAACGAUGAAUACUCGCUGUUUGCGAUAUACAGCAAGCGGCCAAGCGAAAGCGUUAAGUAUUCCACCUGGGGAGUACGCCGGCAACGGUGAAACUCAAAGGAAUUGACGGGGGCCCGCACAAGCGGAGGAACAUGUGGUUUAAUUCGAUGAUACGCGAGGAACCUUACCCGGGCUUAAAUUGCAGAUGAAUUACGGUGAAAGCCGUAAGCCGCAAGGCAUCUGUGAAGGUGCUGCAUGGUUGUCGUCAGCUCGUGCCGUGAGGUGUCGGCUUAAGUGCCAUAACGAGCGCAACCCUUGUUGUCAGUUACUAACAGGUUCUGCUGAGGACUCUGACAAGACUGCCAUCGUAAGAUGUGAGGAAGGUGGGGAUGACGUCAAAUCAGCACGGCCCUUACGUCCGGGGCUACACACGUGUUACAAUGGGGGGUACAGAGGGCCGCUACCACGCGAGUGGAUGCCAAUCCCAAAAACCUCUCUCAGUUCGGACUGGAGUCUGCAACCCGACUCCACGAAGCUGGAUUCGCUAGUAAUCGCGCAUCAGCCACGGCGCGGUGAAUACGUUCCCGGGCCUUGUACACACCGCCCGUCAAGCCAUGGGAGCCGGGGGUACCUGAAGUGCGUAACCGCGAGGAGCGCCCUAGGGUAAAACUGGUGACU